AAUUCGAUUGUGCCAGCAGCCGCGGUAAUACAGAGGGUGCGAGCGUUAAUCGGAUUUACUGGGCGUAAAGCGUGCGUAGGCGGCUGAUUAAGUCGGAUGUGAAAUCCCUGAGCUUAACUUAGGAAUUGCAUUCGAUACUGGUCAGCUAGAGUAUGGGAGAGGAUGGUAGAAUUCCAGGUGUAGCGGUGAAAUGCGUAGAGAUCUGGAGGAAUACCGAUGGCGAAGGCAGCCAUCUGGCCUAAUACUGACGCUGAGGUACGAAAGCAUGGGGAGCAAACAGGAUUAGAUACCCUGGUAGUCCAUGCCGUAAACGAUGUCUACUAGCCGUUGGGGCCUUUGAGGCUUUAGUGGCGCAGCUAACGCGAUAAGUAGACCGCCUGGGGAGUACGGU
rnacentral:rRNA from 1 species